UUUUUUUUGUAAAUGGGUGAACUGUGUCUCCACAUUGAGAAGCAGAGGAGUGCUUUAACUGUUGGGAGCCUGUGGUCAGGAGCUGGGAGGAUUCUGCCUGUGGGUAACACUUCUGGCAGCAGCUAAGUGGGCAUUUUCAUUGAAUGGCUCUCCUGAGACAGCUUCUCCAGUCUUACAAGAUUUCUAAACUAUUGUUUCAAUUGGACAAAGAUGUUACCUAUCCUUAGAAUUCACAUAAAUUCUUACAUCUAAGGAAUUUAACUUCAGCAGAGGCCCUCACCUGCUGGCCUCCUGGAAAAAAUGAGAGAACAUCCCCCUCUCUGGAUAUUGGAAGAUCAUGUCUCCCGGAGCUGGAACUCACAUGAAGUAGCUGAGUCUGCCUGAAGAACUGCACAUAGGAAGUGCACCCAGCACUGUGCUGAAGCAUCAGAUAGCCUACCACAUAAUGCCAUGAUAUGGAAUACUGAUUAAACCAGGACAGUCUAUUAAGGUGUAGUGUAGAUGAUCAGAAAGUCUUUUAAUGGAUAAUGUAUGUUUUGACUUCUGAGGUUUAAUGUACGCAGUGAUGUUUUCCAAGCAUUGUUAUAACAGAAUCAUGGAAUGAUGUAAGUUAGAAGAUACCUUAAAGAUCAUCGAACUCCUAUUCUCCUGACUUGGGCAAGGUUGCCAAUCACUAGAUCAGGCUGCCCAGGAUUCCAUUCAAUGUGGCCUUGAACAUCUCCAGGAAUGGGACAUUCACUACUUCUCUGGGCAACAUGUUACAGUGCCUGACCACCCUCUGAGUAAAAAAUUUCUCCCUAACUUCUGACCUAAAUCUACCCUCUUUUAAUUUAAAACUGCCAAACUCACUGGAGUUACAGUCAAUCCUCCAGGAGGCACACUCCUGAGGGGCACCAUUUAUGACUGGCCUCCGCCUGGCUGUAGAUCCAAAAUUCAUGGCUGGCACUGUGAAAGUAUUCAACUCUGGAUGUACCUGCUGGUUGUAUAUGAUAGGUGGUGAAUUUGCGGUUGGUUUGUAUUUCAUAGUGGAAAGUAUAAUGGAUGCUUGUAUAAAGCACCUCAGUAGAAUGAAAAGAGUUAGAUACAGUUGGCUAAAUACUGUGGGCUUUUCUGCCUAAGUUGCAAAUAUAUGCUGUUUUCUUUGUAACGGUUUUACCCAUGCUAAGGCAGCUACAGAUGUCUCAAAAUGAGUGAAGGAAUACAUUAUUUAAUAGCAUAAUGUAGUGAGGAUUAUGCAACCAAGAGUAAGGAAAGUGUCAUGAUUUUAUGAUUUUUGGCUAUCAGUAUUCCACAUCAUAACAUUAUGUAGUGUAUGUACCUGGUUCUCAGAAGAGAGGAGCUACUACAUUCCCCGGAGGACUUUGCUACCCUGUCACUGUUUUUCCGGUCAGAGGGAAAGAUAAAAAUUCGCAUAUCACAAGACCUGCCCUCUCUCUUCUCGUUCCAUCUCUCGACCCGGCAGCAGCUCACUCCCCAGCGAUCUCACCAUCGGUAUUAGGGUCAAGACAGUGCCUGAAAUCUCAACCACGGGGCAAAUUUGCAGUUGAGGUGGAUGUGAGAAGCAAAAAGUGAAUAUCAGCCAGUUUUGAGCUUCAAUAAAUCCUCAUAGAAGAUUGCAAACUAACUUGUUACUUGGAUAAACAUAGAUGAUCUCUGCCAGUAUAGAAUCAGAGAAUCAUAUAAUAUCAUAAGCUGGGAGGGAUCCAUGAAGCUCAUCAAGUCCUGACUCCACAGAGGAUCACUUCAAGUUAAGCCAUAUUUCUGAGAACAUUGUUCAUACAAUUCCUGAACUCUGAGAGGCUUGAUACCAUGACCAGUUCUCCAGGGAACCUGUUCCAAGGUCAGAUCCCCUCUUGGUCAAGGACUUUAUCCUAACCCCCAGCCUGAUCCUAUCCUGGUGCAGCUCUGUGCCACUCCCUCGGGCCCUGUCACUGUUACCAGAGAGCAGAGAUCAGCGCUGCCCCUCUUCUCCCUGUGAGGAGCUGUAGGCCGCCACCAGGCCUCUCCUCAGUGUCCUCUGCUCUGGGCUGAACAAACAAAGGGACAUCAAUUGCUCCUCUCAAACCUUCAACCUCUUCAUAGCCCUAAAUUUAAAU